AUGGGAUCCUCCCCCGGAGCCCGGAGGAAGGGCCCGUCCUCUCCCAGUUUUACUAAGCGGGUAAGCCCCGAGGCCGCAUUUGAACUCCGCGCCGCGGCCUCCGGGCCUGACGCCGGCUGGCUGCUCGGCGGGGACCCCCUGCCCCGCGGAGCGCGCUUUCUGGGCCCAGCCGCCCUUUCCUUGCUGGGCCCGGGCGGGGGAUCUCACGGCCUUUGGCCCGGAGGGAUCAGCCCAUCCCGGCACGGCCUGUUUGCACUCGGAUUUCCCGUGGGCUUCCCCAGCUGCUUCCGAGCCUCCGCCUCUGCUGCCUCGGCCCGUUUGUUUGCUUGCGCCGCGGGAGGAGGGCGCGAGGUGUCCCAGGUCGGGCCUGGCCACACCUUCCGCUCCCCAGGUGAAGGUUCGGGAGAGAGCUUCUCCCGGCCUCCCAGGACAGCAGGACUUGGCCACAAGGUCGGCACCUGGGCCAGGACCCCCCUUUUCCUGGAGGAAGUCGGCUCCCCCUUCCUCCCCUUGGCUCUAGACUCUAGGGCCGGCUGCUGGCCUGUCGUAGUGUGAGAAGGUGAGCUUCCUUCUGGACAAUGGACUUGCUCUUUCUGGU
rnacentral:lncRNA from 1 species